rnacentral:rRNA from 1 species
UCGGAUUGUAGUCUGCAACUCGACUACAUGAAGCUGGAAUCNCUAGUAAUCGCGGAUCAGAAUGCCGCGGUGAAUACGUUCCCGGGUCUUGUACACACCGCCCGUCACACCAUGGGAGUCGGAAAUGCCCGAAGCCAGUGACCCAACCGUAAGGAGGGAGCUGUCGAAGGUGGAGCCGAUGACUGGGGUGAAGUCGUAACAAGGUAAC